UAACGCGUGGGUAACCUGCCUUAUACUGGGGGAUAACAGCCAGAAAUGGCUGCUAAUACCGCAUAAGCGCACAGGACCGCAUGGUCCAGUGUGAAAAACUCCGGUGGUAUAAGAUGGACCCGCGUUGGAUUAGCUAGUUGGCAGGGCAGCGGCCUACCAAGGCGACGAUCCAUAGCCGGCCUGAGAGGGUGAACGGCCACAUUGGGACUGAGACACGGCCCAG
rnacentral:rRNA from 1 species